rnacentral:lncRNA from 1 species
GAUGAAUUCCAGAGAAGCAGCAGAAGCAAAGCAUAGCUGCAUGUUGAUGACAGCCUUGGGAAGGGCAGCUGGAAGACCAACUUGUGUAUGCCGGAACUGUCUCUGUGGGACGGCCUUGAGGACCGACUCUUCCUGCCCAGCUCUAGUGCCAGCUUCUCUCUCCUCUAAUCUAAGGGACCCACUAACUGCCAUGCUUCCCAGCCUUAGAUGAUCUCUGAUCAGUCCAAGUCCACUCCCGUCUGCUCCCGGGGACUCCAAUCAUCUCUGCAGGCAGGAAAGAUGCCUACAAGUAUGGAUGGGCAAAGAGCAAAAAGAUCACCGUUUUGCUACCGGGAUAAUAGAAAAACUACAGCUUUC